UGCAACCUCCUGUGCCAUCUGGGACUGC
rnacentral:piRNA from 1 species